GACGAACCGAGCGAACGUUAUUCGGAAUCACUGGGCUUAAAGGGCGCGUAGGCGGGCCGUCAAGUCGAGGGUGAAAUCCCCCAGCUCAACUGGGGAAGUGCCUCCGAUACUGGCGGCCUCGAGGGGGAUAGGGGCAUGCGGAACUUCCGGUGGAGCGGUGAAAUGCGUAGAUAUCGGAAGGAACACCGGUGGCGAAAGCGGCGUGCUGGAUCCCUUCGGACGCUGAGGCGCGAAAGCCAGGGGAGCGAACGGG
rnacentral:rRNA from 1 species